rnacentral:tRNA from 1 species
GCACCCGUAGCUCAGAUGGAUAGAGCACUGCCCUCCUAAGGCAGGUGCCGGACGUUCGAAUCGUCUCGGGUGCGCCA